rnacentral:lncRNA from 1 species
CUGAAAGCAGAUGUUUAGAAAUGAAAGUAUAAACACAACCCCAGUUGAUUAAUAUGCUUAUUGUAUUUCCUUGUUGUGAGUCUAGCGAAUAUUUGAUUAUCUUUAAGUUGAUCCAUAGUAUAUUCAACAGUCUCAUGAGAACAUAAUUUUUGUUGAUGAUUUGUCCAAAGUUUCUAUUAAUCCAUCCUAGCAGCAGAGCCAAGUGUUAGAGUUAUUGCUGCCUGAGUUAUAACAGCUGCCCUGGGAAUCUUGUCUGAACAACAAGUUAACUGCUGUUCCCAGUUAUAUCUGGUCUUUCCCACCCCCAAACAUACACAAAAGAUUUUUGUCAUUCUUGGCACUGGACAACAGAAGUGAUAAGACAUGCCAGCAGAACUCUAAAGGCAGAAUGUCCUUCCACCUGUUUUAUGCUGUAAGACAAACUUCCAAGUGCGAGGCAGUGUGGAGGGCUGUUUCCUUGAAUGGCAGCUGAAUGCACCGGCGGGAUCCUUGGCAGCAAUGCCCAGGCACUGAAGCCGGGCAUUCAGGAGAGCUAAAUGGAGAAAAGAAACUUGAGCAAACUGCUUCCUGGAACACUGAGAACCUGAAUGGGAAAUUAAGAAGAACCAGAUUCUUUCUAUUCUUCCACCAGCCAAGGUGAUGAGCACAAAAGGAUCCAUCUUAUACAGUGCUUGCCAGCUUCCAUAAUACUACUCACCACGAUGUUGAAAUCACCUGUUCCAGAACCAGUCCUGUCCUUUGACAAGAAGGAUUUAAUUAUCAGUAGUGGUGGGGACUGGCUGGAGAGAGGAAAAACACUUCAAGGACUCUGCCACCUUUCGUAGAUGGAGAGUGCAAAGUUUGUACCAUGGAACUCCUUCUCUAACAGUUACUCUGUGGCAGUGCCUAUUUCAAACCUCCCUUAACUUCUGAUUGUAUAGAUGUUUGUUUCAUUUGUUCAUCUGUUUGUUCACUUAGUCAGAGAUGUUUUAAGCCUUAAGAGAAAUAGUGGACUAGAAAAUGCCUUGGAAAAGUACAAAGUUCAAUCCAAGUAAACUGUUUUUAAACUAGGAACUUAUGAAGCCUAAAAUAUAAAAUGUAUGUACAUGGAUAUGCUCUGAAGUGAGGUAGAGGGGUAGAAAUCAACAUUGUGAUAUUGUACUAUAGUUUUGCAAGAUGUUACCAUUGGGGGAAAAUGUUUGAAGGGUAUACAGGAUAUCUCUG